rnacentral:rRNA from 1 species
CCUACGGGAGGCAGCAGUGAGGAAUAUUGGACAAUGGGCGCAAGCCUGAUCCAGCCAUGCCGCGUGCAGGAUGAAGCAUCUAUGGUGUGUAAACUGCUUUUGUACAGGAAGAAACCUCCCGACGUGUCGGGAAUUGACGGUACUGUAAGAAUAAGGAUCGGCUAACUCCGUGCCAGCAGCCGCGGUAAUACGGAGGAUCCAAGCGUUAUCCGGAAUCAUUGGGUUUAAAGGGUCCGUAGGCGGACCAGUAAGUCAGUGGUGAAAUCUCUCCGCUCAACGGGGAAAUGGCCAUUGAUACUGCUGGUCUUGAAUUAUUAGGAAGUAACUAGAAUAUGUAGUGUAGCGGUGAAAUGCUUAGAGAUUACAUGGAAUACCAAUUGCGAAGGCAGGUUACUACUAAUGGAUUGACGCUGAUGGACGAAAGCGUGGGUAGCGAACAGGAUUAGAUACCCUGGUAGUCCACGCCGUAAACGAUGGAUACUAGCUGUUGGGGGCAACUUCAGUGGCUAAGCGAAAGUGAUAAGUAUCCACCUGGGGAAGUACGUUCGCAAGAAUUGAAACUCAAAUUGAAUUGACGGNUUGAGAGNGCGAGGACGCGACGAGGAGGAGG